rnacentral:rRNA from 1 species
AUUGAACGCUGGCGGCAGGCCUAACACAUGCAAGUCGGACGGUAGCACAGAGAGCUUGCUCUUGGGUGACGAGUGGCGGACGGGUGAGUAAUGUCUGGGGAUCUGCCCGAUAGAGGGGGAUAACCACUGGAAACGGUGGCUAAUACCGCAUAACGUCGCAAGACCAAAGAGGGGGACCUUCGGGCCUCUCACUAUCGGAUGAACCCAGAUGGGAUUAGCUAGUAGGCGGGGUAAUGGCCCACCUAGGCGACGAUCCCUAGCUGGUCUGAGAGGAGUACCAGCCACACUGGAACUGGGACACGGUCCAGACUCCUACGGGAGGCAGCAGUGGGGAAUAUUGCCCAAUGGGCGCAAGCCUGAUGCAGCCAUGCCGCGUGUAUGAAGAAGGCCUUCGGGUUGUAAAGUACUUUCAGCGGGGAGGAAGGCGGUGAGGUUAAUAACCUUGCCGAUUGACGUUACCCGCAGAAGAAGCACCGGCUAACACCGUGCCAGCAGCCGCCGUAA